GUCCAGACUCCUACGGGAGGCAGCAGUGGGGAAUAUUGCGCAAUGGACGAAAGUCUGAUGCAGCGACGCCGCGUGAGUGAAGAAGUAUUUCGGUAUGUAAAGCUCUAUCAGCAGGGAAGAAAAUGACGGUACCUGAUUAAGAAGCCCCGGCUAACUACGUGCCAGCAGCCGCGGUAAUACGUAGGGGGCAAGCGUUAUCCGGAUUUACUGGGUGUAAAGGGAGCGUAGACGGUUAUGUAAGUCUGGAGUGAAAGCCCGGGGCCCAACCCCGGGACUGCUUUGGAAACUGUGUAACUGGAGUACAGGAGGGGCAGGCGGAAUUCCUGGUGUAGCGGUGAAAUGCGUAGAUAUCAGGAGGAACACCGGCGGCGAAGGCGGCCUGCUGGACUGAAACUGACGUUGAGGCUCGAAAGCGUGGGGAGCAAACAGGAUUAGAUACCCCAGUA
rnacentral:rRNA from 1 species